rnacentral:rRNA from 1 species
AACGAACGCUGGCGGCAUGCCUAACACAUGCAAGUCGAACGAGAUCUUCGUGUCUAGUGGCGCACGGGUGCGUAACGCGUGGGAAUCUGCCCUUUGGUUGGGAAUAACAGUUGGAAACGACUGCUAAUACCGGAUGAUGACGGAAGUCCAAAGAUUUAUCGCCAGAGGAUGGGCCCGCGUAGGAUUAGCUAGUUGGUGGGGUAAAGGCGCACCAAGGUGACGAUCCUUAGCUGGUCUGAGAGGAUGAUCAGCCACACUGGGACUGAGACACGGCCCAGAGUCCUACGGGAGGCAGCAGUGGGGAAUAUUGGACAAUGGGCGAAAGGAUGAUCCAGCAAUGCCGCGUGAGUGAUGAAGGCCUUAGGGUUGUAAAGCUCUUUUACCCGGGAUGAUAAUGACAGUACCGGGAGAAUAAGCUCCGGCUAACUCCGUGCCAGCCGCCGCCGUAA